CUACGGGUCGCUCCAGUGGGGAAUAUUGCACAAUGGGGGGAACCCUGAUGCAGCAACGCCGCGUGGAGGAUGACGCAUUUCGGUGUGUAAACUCCUUUUAUAUGUCAAGAAAAUGACGGUAGCAUAUGAAUAAGCACCGGCUAACUCCGUGCCAGCAGCCGCGGUAAUACGGAGGGUGCAAGCGUUACUCGGAAUCACUGGGCGUAAAGGACGCGUAGGCGGGUUGGAAAGUCAGGUGUGAAAUCCUACAGCUUAACUGUAGAACUGCACUUGAAACUUCUAAUAUAGAGUAUGGGAGGGGGAGAUGGAAUUAGUGGUGUAGGGGUAAAAUCCGUAGAUAUCACUGGGAAUACCUAAAGCGAAGGCGAUCUCCUGGAACAUUACUGACGCUAAGGCGUGAAAGCGUGGGGAGCAAACAGGAUUAGAUACCCGCGUAGUC
rnacentral:rRNA from 1 species